rnacentral:rRNA from 1 species
AACGAACGCUGGCGGCAGGCUUAACACAUGCAAGUCGAGCGCAUCCUUCGGGGUGAGCGGCGGACGGGUGAGUAACGUGUGGGAACGUGCCCUCUUCUACGGAAUAGCCUCGGGAAACUGAGAGUAAUGCCGUAUACGCCCGCAAGGGGAAAGAUUUAUCGGAGGAGGAUCGGCCCGCGUUGGAUUAGGUAGUUGGUGGGGUAACGGCCUACCAAGCCGACGAUCCAUAGCUGGUUUGAGAGGAUGAUCAGCCACACUGGGACUGAGACACGGCCCAGACUCCUACGGGACGCAGCAGUGGGGAAUCUUGGACAAUGGGGGCAACGCUGAUCCAGCCAUGCCGCGUGAUCGAUGAAGGCCUUAGGGUUGUAAAGAUCUUUCAGCUGGGAAGGUAAUGACGGUACCAGCAGAAGAAGCCCCGGCUAACUCCGUG